UGUGGCGUGCAGUGCAGCUCGCCCCGGCAUGCAGCUCGGCCCCCGCCCCAGCGUGCAGGCACCCUCACGUGCAACAUCGAUAGGCUGGAGGUCCGACAUCUUCCUGGCCUCCCCUCUCCCCUGGCCAGAUCCGCCCGUUCUCGAGGCGUGACUCCGAGGCCGACGAGCUGCAUCGCCCAUUCCCUGCUCACUGAUUUGGUUGCCUGUGGCUGUGUGUCGUGCAUCGCCGUGCCUAUGACAAGAUGUGUGGCACCUGCGGGCGUCCAGUACGACCAACGUCGGCGUGCAGUGCGGCCAACGACAGCAUGCAGUAGGGCAUACGACGGCGUGCAGUUCGGUGACCCUCCCACGCGCCACAACAACCUCGAGUAGCAGCGCGGCUGGGAGUGGGCUGCGUUUGGCGCACCUGGACGAGCAGCUAGCUUAUUUGUGUUCUCGGGCAAUCUACGUCUCGGUGCAGUUAAGUUUCAGGUUGGCAACCCCAAUUCGUUUUGCCAGGCCAUUUGCAGUUCGGUGGCGGGCAGAGUUGUAGUGACCCCACGAGGGUUAUAUUGUAAUUUUUUAUCAGAGUUUGUUUCUGCAAAAUUGCGGUGAUCAUCUGCAGACGAGUUCAUCUAGGAGCAGUCAUAUGAACUCCCGUAGAGGUUCAUCUAGGAGAUGUACUUAUUAUAGUUUGUUUGAAAUUAUCAAGGACAAAAAAAAGAAUCAACUUGUUGCAAACCUUA